ensembl:lncRNA
UGUUCUUUUGCUAGAGACAGCAAGUAAACAAGCUAGGCCUGAUGGUUUCCUUUUUGGAUGCCACUGGAAUAUGGUGUGCAUGAAAAUGAGAUGCAGAAUAAAGUCUCUUUGUACCUGGAAGAAGAAUCAUGAUUUCUCCUAAAUGAUGAUUACUCCUCAAUUUAUAUAUCUUAUUAGGGUGUACUAUCUGUGCUUUCAAAAAAAAAUCAACAUUCACAUUAUUCUCAAACUUGACUGCAAAAGCAGUUAGGUUUUGCAAAACUAGUCAAAUGCUAAUGAGGUUCAGAAGGUAUCUCACUUUGAAGAAUAAAAGACAGAAGUUGGAUGGGGCCCUGGGAAACCUGAUCUAGAGCCUGAUUUACUUGGUGGCAAUCCUGCCCAAAUCAGAGUUUGGCCUUAGCUGAUCUUGGAGUUCUUUCCAGCCCAAGUCAUUCUGUGAUUCUGUGGAACAUGGUGCUGUUGAGAAAGAUCUGGGCUCAUUGUCCCAGCUACCCAUCAGGAGGACGGAGGAGAACUCUACCUGUACCCG